rnacentral:rRNA from 1 species
UACGGAGGGGGCUAGCGUUGUUCGGAAUUACUGGGCGUAAAGCGCACGUAGGCGGCUUGGUAAGUUAGAGGUGAAAGCCUGGAGCUCAACUCCAGAAUUGCCUUUAAGACUGCCGAGCUAGCAGGUGAGAGAGGUGAGUGGAAUUCCGAGUGUAGAGGUGAAAUUCGUAGAUAUUCGGAAGAACACCAGUGGCGAAGGCGGCUCACUGGCUCAUACUGGACGCUGAGGUGCGAAAGCGGGGGGAGCAAACAGG